rnacentral:rRNA from 1 species
GACAGAGGGUGCAAACGUUGUUCGGAAUUACUGGGCAUAAAGCGCACGUAGGUGGUCUGCUAAGUCAAGUGUGAAAUCCCCCGGCUCAACCGGGGAAUUGCGCUCGAUACUGGCAGGCUCGAGGUUGGUAGGGGUGAGCGGAACUCCAGGUGGAGCGGUGAAAUGCGUAGAUAUCUGGAGGAACCCCGGUGGCGAAAGCGGCUCACUGGACCGACACUGACACUGAGAGACGAAAGCUAGGGGAGCGAAUGGG